rnacentral:rRNA from 1 species
AUUGAACGCUGGCGGCAGGCUUAACACAUGCAAGUCGAACGAGUGGCGGACGGGUGAGUAAUGCUUGGGAAUCUAGCUCAUGGAGGGGGAUAACUACGGGAAACUGUAGCUAAUACCGCGUACCAUAGGAUGAGCCCAAGUGGGAUUAGGUAGUUGUUGGGGUAAAGGCUCACCAGGCCGACGAUCUCUAGCUGGUCUGAGAGGAUGACCAGCGACACUGGGACUGAGGCACGGCACAGACUCCUACGGCAGGCAGCAGUGGGAGAUAUUGCAGAAUGGGGGCAACCUGACGCAGCCGUGCCGCGUGAAUGAAGAAGGCCAUCAGGUUGUAAAGUUCUUUCGGUAACGAGGGGUUAACUACAGAAGAAGCACCGGCUAACUCCGUGCCAGCAGCCGCGGUAAUAC